AAUAACCAAAAAUAACACUUGGGCUAAGGGUCAAAUUAGUAAUUUUUCUUACAUCUCCCCCCCCCAGAGCCCAAGUAUCAUAUACGCCCCCAAAAUAAAGAGCAUG
rnacentral:lncRNA from 1 species